GAGCGAGAAAAGGGUAGCAAUAUCCUGAGUACAGCGGCGCACGGGUGAGUAACACGUGGGUAAUCUGCCCUAGAGUGGGGAAUAACACCGGGAAACCGGUGCUAAUACCGCAUACGAUCACGAUGUCUGCGGACGUUGUGAUGAAAGGAGCAAUUCGCUCCAGGAGGAGCCCGCGGCUGAUUAGCUAGUUGGUGAGGUAAUGGCUCACCAAGGCGACGAUCAGUAUCCGGUCUGAGAGGACGGUCGGACACACUGGAACUGAGACACGGUCCAGACUCCUACGGGAGGCAGCAGUGGGGAAUUUUUGGCAAUGGGGGAAACCCUGACCAAGCAACGCCGCGUGGGUGAUGAUCUCUCUUGGGACGUAAAACCCUUUCGACGGGGAAGAAACCGCAAGGUUGACGGUACCCGUAGAAGAAGCCCCGGCUAACUCCGUG
rnacentral:rRNA from 1 species